GCAAAGUCCAACGACGGCCGUUUUCUUCUCUCUCCCAUCGGUUCAUACAGACCGGGACUGGUGACCUUUGUUGAGUUUUGCUAUCAGGGUGCCAUUUUUACCUAUCGUAUAUCUUCAUAACAAGGUAAAUUUGUUGGUAUUUUCAGCUUUCUACUCAUUCAAAUCGGAAUUUAUAAUGGAAGUAUCAACCAGAAAACCUAAGAUUUCCAGUACCAGUACAGGGAUUGAUAGAAUAAGCUCAUUGCCAGAUGAUGUACUUCACAACAUACUUUCAUAUCUCUUUAUUUUUUAUGUGGUUCAGUUGAGUAUGUUAUCGAAAAGAUGGAGAUAUGUAUGGACUACAAUGCCUUACUUGCACUUUGAUAUUGAUCAAUUUUAUCCACAACGGUAUUGUGAUUUUGUAAUAGCUGGGAGAUUUAAAGACUUCAUCAAUUGGGUAUUGAUUUCCCAAGGUGACUUUAAUAAACUUGUUCAGUUUCUUCUCUGUUUUGACAAUUUGUUUGAUGAGUCAACUAUUUUGCGAUGGAUUAAUCAUGUGACUACAAGGCGAAAUGUACAAGAACUUGUGUUAAAAUUUCGUCUUGGUAAGCCAUUUGAGUUACCGUAUUGUCUUGUAACGUAUCGUUGCAAGUUUUGAAACUACACUUGUCUGGGGAUGUACUUAAACUGCCUAAUUCUGUGGGAUUUCAUCAGCUGAAGUUGCUUCAUCUUGAUGCUAUUGCUCAAGUAUUCUCCUAAUCUGGAGGUUCUUAAAUUUUGGUCUGAUGAGAGUGUAGACGAGAGUGUAAAUUGGCAGCUGCUUGAUCUCGAUGAAAGCAUUGUGUGCUUGGAAUCCCAUCUAAAGUCAAUUCAUUUGACUGGUUUCAAAGGUGAAGAAAACGAGAUAGAACUACUGAAGUUUUUCCUGAAGAAUGCACAAGUAUUGGAAAAACUGAUGAUUUUCUGGGAAAUGGACAUGGAUAAGUCAGAAGAAGCAUCAGAGGAAGUUUUGAACUUUCCUAGAACUUCUUCACACGUUGUUCUGACGUUUCUUGAUGCCAAGCCCAAGCAAAGAUCCAUAAGUGGUACAAUAGAUAUUCAAAAUGACUCGACCUAGGAGAGAAUUAUUCGAUUGUUGGAUGUCUCUUAUUGAGAUUUCUUUUAAAGAUUCAAGUCUGAACCAGACUAUAAGCAAUUUCAUUGGACUGUGAUGUUUACGGAACUUCUAUUGCUGUUCUGCGUUUAAUGUUUGAACUGCUAGAGAGUAACUAGGAAAGUCAUGUCUUUUUCCAAUGGGGAAGUAUCAUGCAGGAUACCAAAAUUCUGGUAUUGUUUUGCUUCGACACUUAAAGAUCCCCUGCUUUGCUAGAAGGGCACUUUGCUGAAGUCUUUAAAGCUGUUUGUGGCUUUAUGUUGAUGACGAUUUAAUGCAAGUUAUGAUAUUAUUGCUCAAGCAUUCUCCUAAUCUGGAGGUUCUUAAAUCAUGGCCUGAUUAGGCUGAACCAUGUCUUGCAUACUGGAGUCCAAAACUCAGAACAGAUUGGCCCAACUGAUUUUAAACUCGGAUAAGUUAUGGAUAUAUACUAUUCGGCCAA